rnacentral:rRNA from 1 species
AUUGAACGCUGGCGGCAUGCCUUACACAUGCAAGUCGAACGGCAGCACGGGUGCUUGCACCUGGUGGCGAGUGGCGAACGGGUGAGUAAUAUAUCGGAACGUACCUUAUCGUGGGGGAUAACGCAGCGAAAGCUGUGCUAAUACCGCAUAAGCCCUAAGGGGGAAAGCAGGGGACCGUAAGGCCUUGCGCGAUUAGAGCGGCCGAUACCUGAUUAGCUAGUUGGUGAGGUAAAGGCUCACCAAGGCAACGAUCAGUAGCUGGUCUGAGAGGACGAUCAGCCACACUGGGACUGAGACACGGCCCAGACUCCUACGGGAGGCAGCAGUGGGGAAUUUUGGACAAUGGGGGCAACCCUGAUCCAGCAAUGCCGCGUGAGUGAAGAAGGCCUUCGGGUUGUAAAGCUCUUUUGUCAGGGAAGAAACAGCAGCUCUAAUACAGUAUGCGAAUGACGGUACCUGAAGAAUAAGCACCGGCUAACUACGUGCCAGCCGCCGCAGUAA